GAGGGACAGCUGAACUGCUGGCAAUUGAUAGCCUGCUGGGCGGCUGCCGCACAGGAAACUUAGGGGAGCUGAUGGGGGGCUGCUGGCCCACCCUUGUUUCAAGCCCCCACCAGCUUGCUCUAACGGACUGCUCUUUCUGCAAACAGCGGACAAAGCAGGCGGUCCCUUAUAAACAAGGUUAUAAGGGAGCAUUGAGCAACAAACAUGUUCUCUAAUUGAUCAGCAACAAUACGUUAACAGGGACAACUUUAAGUGAGGAGUUAAUGUACUUCAGUUCUUCUUCAGGCUCUGUAAAUACUGAAGGAGCAUGCGUCCUGUGCUUGCAACACUCGUACCAAUAGGGCAGAGCUGUACAGGUUCCGUGAUUCUGUCAAAGGUGACAAACAGCAAGGAAGAGGGCUGUACAGAUGU